GCGCCUCUAGCUCAGUUGGAUAGAGCAACGGACUUCCGCCGUAGUUUCAACGAAGGCAGGUAAUCCGCGGGUCGCAGGUUCAAAUCCUGUGAGGCGUA
rnacentral:tRNA from 1 species